rnacentral:misc_RNA from 1 species
GUCUUGUUGAGCACUAAUCCACCUAGAAUAACCUUUUUCACUGCUGCUUUCUCCAGAAGAAGUAGUAUCACUUAAUGUGUGAAAAAUAGUGACACUUUCUUUUUUCGCACUUUGAAAGGAAUAGCUCCUUGUCGUCUUCCCAUCAUGUACUGGAAGGAGAGAUUUUGACUGCUGGCCAUUUCCAUCCCUGCCUAAACUGUAAGUUGUUGAGAGCUUUCUUUCGAUUCCUUGCCUCUCUCGUACCAAAUCUCCCAGUUCUUCUACAACUUCAUUUGCCACUGCUUCCUCUGCAGCCUUCUGUUUCAGUUCUGUGAUCGUCCUAUCGAAUGCCUUCUUCUUGAGUUGGAGAGACCGUCGCUUUUCUAGAAAAUCUCCCAAGCCUUGACCUUGAAUCUUUUUUUUGCUCCAAAAUACGCAGCAGAAUCGCACAAGGCCUGCUAAAACAACCAGGGCUAUGGACUCAAAUAACAGGAACAGCAUUAUUGUCUUCUCAUCACCUGAAAGAAUGAGUAGAUAGAAGCUUCUCAUCUGGUAACAAAUAAAAAGACUGCA